rnacentral:lncRNA from 1 species
UGGACUGCUGCUGAAAGUCCUCCUGCCAGGCUCUGCUCGGCCGCCCUCUGAAGACAGAGCAUCCGGGGAGGGAGAUUUCUCCGUGCUGCUUCCACGCUUUGCGCGCUUCGUUGCCGGCUGCCAGUCCAGGAAGGGGUCCGCUGCAGCCUCUGCUUCCCCUCUAUGCCUUCGCUUGGAGCCUGCCGGGAGCGGUGGCGACCCAGAACCUCCUUCCUCGCUGCUCCCUCGGCUGCGUAGCUCUCGUUUCGCGCUAGCCCCCCGCUUGCGCUUCGCGCCAACUCCCCUGAGCGCCACGGAGCGCGUGCGCGCGUAUUCCACGCGCGCCGCAGACCACUGUUCCACUCCGGCCGCCGGCGCCAAUUUUUUGCUUUUUCUCGUCGCCAGCUCCGGCGCGCUUGCCGGCAGCGCGGAG